CUUGGCCUGGUGGCUGCAUCACAUUUGCCUUGGGAAUUUGUACACGUCACUGUUCUUUUCUGGAUCCCUUUGCCACAGUCUGCUGAACACUGCAAAACAACAGGCAUUCCUGGAUGAAGUGAAUGAUGGGAACAAUAACUGUGUAGGCACUAGGCACCGGAAGGCUAUCAUCACCAGAAUUGCCUCAAUGAGCUGAGUUGCUGGAUUUCCUUGGAAGUAUCUUUUUGUCUUUCAGUAACAAAUUAACUCCUGACUGCCUGUUGCUUAAUGAACUGCAUACAACCCAGAGUGCAUGUGAUUUUGUCUCCUUCUAGUGGACGGUGAUAACCAGAUGUACCCACAAUAGGACAUCAGCUACUCACAUCAGCUACUCACAAGGGUACCCACAGGAAUCACUGUGGUGCAUGAGCCUUUGGACAGCAUAGUGUUGGAUCCUUGCCUGCAGAUGGAAAAGUGAAAGGGGACUAGAAGAAAGAAAGAAUGAAAGAAAGAAGCGAUCCGUAUAACCACAGGCCUGACCUCAGCAGCGUGCCAGCUUUUAGAACAGAUUUGGAGGGAAACAACAAUCAAGGAUAUGGUGGUAAAUGGAAAACAGGAAAAAUGCAACAUAGGGUUCCUCCAGGCAGCCCAGGCUAAAGUAGAUGCUAUGUUGCAGUUGCAGAGCUCUGAUCUCCUUGGCCUCACCAAACUACUGUCCCCUAAACCUACGUUAUUUGGCUCUCCCAAGAGGUGGCUGAAGUUCAAAGGGAUGUAUAAUUUGCAAAGCACUUUGAGAUCAUGCUGGAAGAAAUACGCUGUUAUUAAUAUCAUACACUUUUUUUCUCUCCAGAUCAUUUUAUAUAUAACGUAGAUUACUUUUUAUUUUUAUUACAAUCUCAACAUCAAUAGCCCCGUCUGUCUCCUCCAUUUGUAUGACAUGAUCUCACUCCAUUCCAAGGAGUUUGCAGACCACAUUAUAAACGAAUUAAGAGAAGAUGCAAAGAGUGUGGGAUAGUGAAUUAAAGUCACACAGCACACCCAAAAAUGAAACAGAGACCAAGAGUCCAAUGACUGUGUCCUGGGUUCUGGCCAUUACACCUUUCCCCAGAGACAAAUUCUGUGUAAGAUGAUUCCCUUACAUUUUGAGUAAAAGCAUAAACGUAUAGAAAAAUGCACAAAACAGAGCAGACCUACAGCUGAAAGGAAAGCAUUAUUCUUUCUUCUGCUCAGGUAAAGGGCUUAGGUCUGAGUGGGAAUGGGAAAGGGCCUUAUUGUAACAAGAUGCUACAGCAAUUUUACUUGAAACCUGAAAACAAAUUCAGGGUUUAUUAAGAAAAAAAAAAAUAGAAGAAAAAAAAAAAGCAUUGACAUGGUGAAAGAAAAUGGUUUCUUUAAGAUGUUCUUGGUCAGAGAAUAUGCUAAGCAUGCAUUUCUAAUAUCUGGGUGGGCAAACGCAAAUGGAAAUUUAAAUUCUACAGAGGCACAGAGAAUGUGCUUCUUGAAAAUGUUUCCAGUCAAAAGCGUGUUAUGUGUGAAAGUGUGGUCUACACAGAGGGAGUGAAGGAGUGUGGUCUGUCAGAUCAUCGGCAAGCAUUUUGUGGCCAUUCUGGGUACUAAGGACAUUUGGUAUUGACUGUCACUGCUCAGACAACAGAACGUUGCUGUGCAGGAGCUAAUUAUUCCUGAGGAGAGCUGGGAUAAACUAUGGCUGUAAGUUGCCUGAUAGCUCUAUACACAAGAAGAGACACCUUGGAACAAUAUUAAGUGCUGGACCUGAAUCUGCAGAAGAACACAAUUUGGAUACAGUAACUUGUUUGGUCCUUUCUCAGCAGGUUGUGUGCUGUUUUACUAUCUCCCUAUGUGGUGGCAAAAGCUUUUAGCUUCUUCCCAAGCUUUUUUACACCUCUAACACCUGGAGACCCUUCAAAUGACCUCACUGAUUCACUCCAGUGUCUUCCCAAUGUAUUUUUAAAAAGUCUAAAAGAAAUCCUUUGUGCCAAGACAGAAACACAAGCAGAUGCUCCUUGUUUCAGUCUUUCAGAGAAAUUGACAUGAUAGAAAUCCCAGCAUCUCUGAAUUUAGGAAACUUCCUCACAGAAAUGACAGUUGUUUCCCUCAAGCUACUGGGAGUUUGGCUCUCCUUAUAGACCUAGAAGCACACACAGUAUCUCAUUAUACCUUUCAGUACCACUGAAAGCAUUUUGGCCACAAUAUUGCGCAGCUGUAAUAGGUGCAGAAACAAAAUGAAACCUGAAACAACUCAAUCUUAUUGAUGGAUUACCUAACACUAGAUUUUCCUGCUUCAGGGCACUUUAAUCAGAAUGCAGGUCCAAUUAGAGGGAAAUGUGUUGCUUCUCACUUCCCCUAUUGUUCCUCCCAGCAGGAUGAACUUUGUAGGUACAUUCCCCUGGCUUCUCUGAUUAAACAAGAUGCAACAGAUAGCAAAUUCCUUUUAACAGGCCCUUGUAGAUAUUCAUGAACUUUAUUCUAAGUUCACUUUGUGUUCUAACUGCUACCCAAAGUGGAUGGUCCACUUUAGUCUGCAACACUAAGCACUGCUUGUGAGCAAGAGUGAAAUUUUUUGCUAGCAAAUAAAUAGAACAAAUUAA